rnacentral:rRNA from 1 species
AACGAACGCUGGCGGCAGGCCUAACACAUGCAAGUCGAGCGCUCACUUCGGUGGGAGCGGCGGACGGGUUAGUAACGCGUGGGAAUAUGCCCGGUACUAAGGAAUAGCCUUUGGAAACGAAGAGUAAUACCUUAUACGCCCUUCGGGGGAAAGAUUUAUCGGUAUCGGAUUAGCCCGCGUAAGAUUAGAUAGUUGGUGGGGUAAUGGCCUACCAAGUCUACGAUCUUUAGCUGGUUUUAGAGGAUGAUCAGCAACACUGGGACUGAGACACGGCCCAGACUCCUACGGGAGGCAGCAGUGGGGAAUCUUAGACAAUGGGCGCAAGCCUGAUCUAGCCAUGCCGCGUGAGUGAAGAAGGCCUUAGGGUCGUAAAACUCUUUCGCCAGAGAUGAUAAUGACAGUAUCUGGUAAAGAAACCCCGGCUAACUCCGUGCCAGCAGCCGCGGUAAUACGGAGGGGGUUAGCGUUGUUCGGAAUCACUGGGCGUAAAGCGCGCGUAGGCGGACUGAUUAGUUGGGGGUGAAAGCCCGGAGCUCAACUCCGGAACUGCCUCCAAUACUGUCAGUCUUGAGAUCGAGAGAGGUAAGCGGAAUUCCGAGUGUAGAGGUGAAAUUCGUAGAUAUUCGGAGGAACACCAGUGGCGAAGGCGGCUUACUGGCUCGAUACUGACGCUGAGGUGCGAAAGUGUGGGGAGCAAACAGGAUUAGAUACCCUGGUAGUCCACACCGUAAACGAUGAAUGCCAGACGUCAGCAAGUAUACUUGUUGGUGUCACACCUAACGGAUUAAGCAUUCCGCCUGGGGAGUACGGUCGCAAGAUUA